rnacentral:tRNA from 1 species
GGAUUAGUAGUCAAGAGGUUAAGACACAACUCUUUCAAUGUUGAUACCGUGGGUUCGAAUCCCAUCUAGUCUA